rnacentral:rRNA from 1 species
UCAGGAUGAAAGGCUUCGGUCGCUCUGUGAGGGGCUUUUACCCUAUCAGUUUGUUGGUGAGGUCACGGCUCACCAAGGCAGUGACGGGUAGGGGGUGUGAGAGCAUGACCCCCCACAUGGGAACUGCGACACGGUCCCAACUCCUACGGGAGGCAGCAGUCUAGAAAUUUGGGCAAUGGGCGAAAGCCUGACCCAACGACGCCGCGUGAGGGAUGACGUCCUUCGGGAUGUAAACCUUUGUUGGGGGGGACGAUAAUGACGGUACCCCUCGAGGAAGCCUCGGCUAACUCCGUGCCAGCAGCCGCGGUAAUACGGAGGAGGCGAGCGUUGUCCGGAAUCACUGGGCGUAAAGGGUGUGUAGGUGUCCUGGUGGGUCAGAUGUGAAAUCCAACCGCUCAACGGUUGAACUGCAUUUGAAACUAUCAGGAUAGAGGACACUAGGGGAGAGUGGAACUCGCGGUGUAGCGGUAGAAUGCGUGGAUAUCGCGAGGAAUGCCGAUGGCGAAGGCGGCUCUCUAGGGUGUUCUUCGUAUGAAGAGCUAUUCGAUUCAGAUCUUCGGAUUAAGAUUGAAUGGUCCUGACACUGAAACACGAAUGCUGGGGGAGCGAACGGGAUUAGAUACCCCGGUAGUCCCAGCCAUAAACGAUGUGCACUUGGCAUGUGCUUGUACUAGAGCGUGCCGUAGGUAACCUGUUAAGUGCACCGCCUGGGGAGUAUGCUCGCAAGGGUGAAACUCAAAGGAAUUGACGGGGACCCGCACAAGCGGUGGAGGAUGUGGUUUAAUUCGAGGCAACGCGAAGAACCUUACCUGGGUUUGACAUGCUGGUAGUACGGAGCCGAAAGGCGAUGGAUCUCACCUCUGGUGAGAAGUCAGCACAGGUGCUGCAUGGCUGUCGUCAGCUCGUGCCGUGAGGUGUUAGGUUAAGUCCUGUAACGAGCGCAACCCCUGCUCUUAGUUGCCAGUUUGUCUUAGGAUGAAGGCACUCUAGGGGGACUGCC